rnacentral:rRNA from 1 species
AUGGUAGGAUAGAGGCCUACCAUGGUGGUAACGGGUAACGGGGUGUUAGGGCACGACACCGGAGAGGGAGCCUGAGAAACGGCUACCACAUCCAAGGAAGGCAGCAGGCGCGCAAAUUACCCAAUCCCGACACGGGGAGGUAGUGACAAUAAAUAACAAUACAGGGUUCUUUGAAUCUUGUAAUUGGAAUGAGUACAAUUUAAAUCUCUUAACGAGGAACAAUUGGAGGGCAAGUCUGGUGCCAGCAGCCGCGGUAAUUCCAGCUCCAAUAGCGUAUAUUAAAGUUGUUGCAGUUAAAAAGCUCGUAGUUGAAUUUCGGGAUCAAUACGUCGGUCGUGCUUUCGGGUACGUACCGGCGUCAUUGGUUUCUCCUUUCUGACGAACCAUGAUGUCAUUAAUUUGGUGUUAUGGGGAGUUAGGACUGUUACUUUGAAAAAAUUAGAGUGUUUAAAGCAGGCAUUAGCUUGAAUACAUUAGCAUGGAAUAAUGAAAUAGGACGUUCGAUCCUAUUUUGUUGGUUUCUAGGAUCAACGUAAUGAUUAAUAGGGAUAGUUGGGGGCAUUAGUAUUCAAUUGUCAGAGGUGAAAUUCUUGGAUUUAUUGAAGACUAACUACUGCGAAAGCAUUUGCCAAGGAUGUUUUCAUUAAUCAAGAACGAAAGUUAGGGGAUCGAAGACGAUCAGAUACCGUCGUAGUCUUAACCAUAAACUAUGCCGACUAGGGAUCGGAUGAUGUUAAUUUUUUAAUGACUCAUUCGGCGCCUUACGGGAAACCAAAGUGUUUGGG